GAUAUACAUCAAGAGCGAGAUUAAAUUCUCCUCCAACCUGCCAACUCCGGCAAGGUGGAAAAAUGAUGUGGUUAACCAACAAAUAAAGGAGUUAAA
ncrna:unclassified sequences SAM-I/IV variant riboswitch